AGUCUGCGCCAGAGCCGCAGCGGUACAUGGAAGACCUGGGCGGGCAGGCGUCCUUACUACGCGGAUCAUGUUGCGGCUGAAGUCGCGAACCGAGACGUAGCUGGGUGUCCCGACCCUGCAUACAGCAGUAGAAGACCUGGGUGACCGUCAGUACCCUGUGAAUUGAGGCACUCCUGAAGCCAUGCGCUGAGACCUGGCUGGGUGUCGCUACCCUGCUGACGGCUGCGGAGGACCUUGGUGGGCAUCAGUACCCUGCGGAUUGUAGGGAUGCUGAAGCUGCGCACUGAGACCUAGCUGCGUAUCUCCCCUGCGGAAGGCUGCGGAGGACUUGGGUGGGCGUCAAUACCCUGAGGAUUGUGGCACUCUUUCCGCAGUUCCCUGCUCUAGGCUGCGGAGGACCCGGGUGGGCGUCAAUACCCUGAAGAUUGCGGCACUCCUUCCGCAGUCCCUUGCUCUUGGCUGCGGAGGACCCGGGUGGGCGUCAAUACCCUGAAGAUUGCGGCACUCGUUCCGCAGUCCCUUGCUCUAGGCUGCGGAGGACCCGGGUGGGCGUCAAUACUCUGCGGAUCGCGGGGAUGCUGAAGCUGCGCGCUGAGACCUAGCUGGGUAUCUCCCCUGCGGAAGGCUGCGGAGGACCUGGGUGAGCGUCAGUACCCUGAGGAUUGUGGCACUCCUGCAGCUGCGCAGAGACCUAGCUGGGUGUCCUCCCCUGGAGAAGGCUGCGGAGGACCAGCGUGGGCAUCAGUACCCUGCGCGUCACGGGGAUGCUGAAGCCGCGCACUGAGACCUAGCUGGGUGUUCCUACCCUGUGGAAGGCUGCAGAGACCCGGGCGGGUGUCAGUACCCUGUGGAUUGCGGCACUCCUGCAGCUGUGCAGAGACCUAGCUGGGUGUCUCCCUUGCAGAAGGCUGUGGGGGACCCGGGCGGGGGUCAGUACCCUGUAGACUGCGGCACUCCUGCAGCUGCGCACUGAGACCUAGCUGAGUGUCUUCCCUGCGGACGGCUGCGGAGGAUCUGGGCGAACGUCAUUACUUUGUGGAUCCCGGGAUACUGAAGCAGCUGAGACCUAGCUGUGCGUCGUCCCCUGUGGAAGGCUGUGGAGAACCCGGGUGGGCUUCAGUACCCUGAGGAUUGCGGCACUCCUGCAGCUGCUCGCUGAGACCUGUCUCCCCUGCGGAAGGCUGCGGAGAACUCUGGAGGGCGUCAGUAGCCUGCGGAUUGCGGCACUACUGCAGUUGCGCAGAGACCUCGCUGGGUGUCUCCCUUGCAGAACGCUGCGGAAGAUUCAGGAGAGCGUCAGUACCCUGCGGACUGCGGCACUCCUGCAGCUGCGCAGAGACCUAGCUGGGUGUCUCCCCUGCGGAAGGCUGCGCAGGAUCACGGAGGGCGUCAGUACCCUGCGGACUGCGGCACUCCUGCAGCUGCGCACUGAGACCUAGCUGAGUGUCUUACCCUGCGGUGGCGACGGAGAACCCCGGUGGGCGUGUUUACCCUGUGAAUGGCCUAGCGCUGCUAAAGCCCCGCACUGAGACGUAGCUGGGUGUCCUCCCCUGUGCACGGCUGUGGAGGAUCUGGGCGGACGUUGUUACUUUGUGGAUCGCGGGAAUGCUGUAGCUGCGCACUGAGACCUACCUGGGUGUCCUCCCCUGUGCACGGCUGCGGAGGAUCUGGGCGGGCGUCAUUACUUUGUGGAUCGCGGGAUUGCUGCAGCUGCGCACUUACAUCUAGCUGGUGUCUUCCCCUGCGGACAGCUGCGGAGGACCUGGGUGGGCGUCAUUACUUUGUGCAUAGCAGGAAUGCCGCAGCUGCGCACUGAGACCUAGCUGGUGUCGUCCUCUGCGGACGGCUGCAGAGGAUGAGAGGAGGGAGGAGGCGUCGUUACUUUGUGCAUCGCGGGGAUGCUGAAGCCAUGCACUGAGACCUAACUGGGUGUCCCCACCCAGUGGACGGCUGCGGAGAACCCGGGCGGGCGUCAUUAUACUGCGGGGGCGGGCGUCAUUAUACUGUGGAAGGUGGUGCUGCGGGAACUGUACAGAGACCUAGCCGGGUGUUCCUGCCCUGCGGAUGGCAGCGGAGAACCCUGGGGGGCGUUUUUAGCCUGCGGAUCGCCUGGUGCUGCUGAAGCCGCGCUUGAAGACCUAGCUGAGUGUCCUCCCCUGCGGAAGCCUGCGGAGGACCUGGGCGGACUCUUUACCCUGUGGAUUGCGCCGCUGCUGAAGCCGCGCACGGAGACCUAGCUGGGUGUCUUCCCCUGUGGUAGGCUGCGGAGGAUCUGGGUGGCUCUGGAGAUCGCAGGAAUGCUGAAGCCUCGCGCUGAGAUCUAGGCUGAGUGUUCUCCGCUGUGGAUGGCUGCGGAUGACCCGGGCGAGCUCUUUACCCCGCUGAUCUCAGCGCUGCUGAAUCCCCUGCACUGAGACCUAGCUGAGCGUUCCCUACCCUGCAGAUAGCUGUGGAGGACCCCGGCAGGCGUCCUUACCCUGCGGAUUGCCUGGUGCUGCUGAAGCCGGCACUGAGAGCUACCUGGGUGACACUACCCUGCGGUUGGCUGCGGAGGACCUGGUGAGCGUCUUUACUGUGCGGACUGCGGCAAGGGUGCGACUGCGUAUGUUGGUGGGCAUCCUUAUCCUUCAGACGGCGGCAAUUCUGCAGCUGCUCAUUGAGGACAUGAGCUGGCAUCUUUCCCGGUAGGACUGCGGCACGUCUGUAGCCACGCACUAAGGACCUGGGUAGGCGUCAUGACCCUGGGAGCAGCGGCACAGCUGCGACUGCGUAUGGAGGACCCAGGCAGGCUCCUCACUCUGCCGACUGCAGCGCGCCUGUGGUUGUGCACCAAGGACCCACCCAGACAGGCGUUCUUACCCUGUGGACAGCGGCACAGCUGGGGCUGUGCACCCCAAGAUCCAGCUGGGCAUUCUUAUCCUGCCGACUGUGGCACGUCUGUGGCCAGGAGUUUUUAUGGUGUGGACAGCAGCACAGCUGCGGCUGCACACUACGGACCCAGACGGGCGUUCUUGCCUUGUAGACUGUGGCAGGGCGGUGGCGGGGCACCCACGAUGCAGGCGAGUGUAUUACCCUGCGACUGGCAACACAGGCUGCGCAGCCAGGACUCAGGCGGGAGUCCUUACUCUGGGGGAGUCCUUACCCUACGGACUGUGGCACAACUGUGGCUGGCACAAGAACCCAGGUGGGCGUCCUUACCCUGCAGACAGUGGCAGGGCUGCGCAUGGCGGACUCGGGUGAGCCGUCUCAUCCUGUGGACCGUGUUACUGUUGCGGCUGUGCACUCAGGACCUGGUGGGGAUGGGGUGUGUGUGUUCCUCUUCUGCUGACUGUGACUCCGUGCCAGCUGCACGGAGGACCAGGGCAGGUGUCUUUGCUUUGUCAACGACAGCACUGCUGCAGCAGUGCACGAGAACCAGACCUGGAGCCGGGUAGAGGAGGUCCCUCCCCUUCUGACUGCAACACAGCUCCACCUGCAACCUGAGACCUGGGUGAGCAUCUUUGCCCUGCCCCGUGCCAUUGUUCUGGCUAUACACCAGCGACCUGGACAGGUUUUCACAUCUCUAUGCUGGAUGGGCUGGCCCAGCCGGUUGUGCACUGUGAGGUGCUGCAGGAGGAGCUGCGAGGACACAUUCUUCUUGACUUCUCAGCAUAGGAAUGUCUCACGUCCAGUCCACGUCCCUGUCCUAGUCCUCCUCUCUGCUCCUUCCACACUUCCUCACGGUGGUCUCCUGCACGCUCGUGGCUGUCAGUAUCAGACGAGGGCAGCUUCUGCAUUUUCUCAAUUCCAACCACUCCUCUCCACUUACCUACCCAGUAUCUCUACUGGGUGUCUUCCAGUCAUCCUGCACUCAACGCGACUGACAAUUUACUUCCAACCGGCUUUACAAUUUCCCUGACUUUGUUGAUGGCAACUUUUUCCUUCCAGUUGCUUAAGCCAGAUACGUUGGAGUCAUUCUUUACCAUUCUGUUCAACUUCAUACCUAUUCCUCAAGAAUUCUGGUUUCUCUAUCUCUAAAAUGUAUUUGGAAGCAGCUACUUCUUACCUUCUUUUCACGGAUUCAGGUCACCAUUCACACUCACUUGGAUUAUUGCAAUAAUUUCCUAACUGGGUUCCAUGUUUCCAGCUUUUCUGUCUGCAGUCUGUUUUGUUUUCAACAUGUGGCCAGAGGGAUCCUGUUAACAUCUAAGUGAAAUAUAUCAUUUCUCUGCAGUGGCUCCCUAGCUGCUCAGAGUAAAAUCUAAUGUUUUUACAAUGGCCUGAAAGGCUCUCCAUAACCUUAUCCCCUCCCACUUACCUCCCUGUCUCCUCUCCUCCCUCCGACACUCAGCCCCUGUGUAUUUUAGCUAUUGAAAGAAUAUGUGGGCACACUGCUAAUUUAUUGUCUUUGUGGAGGCUUGGUUUGUGCAUUCCUUAUUUCAAACACUUAUGGGUGGACUCUGGUAAUGAGCAGUCAUAUUUAUGAGUCCCCCUCCAAGUGAGGAGAUGUACUAGGUGGAAUGUGCGCCCUCCCUCACGUGGUAUACUCUUGAUACAGAGCCAAGCAGGUAGUACCGUUGGUCCUGCUUUGUAGGUGAGGGAAAGCAGACCCAAAAUGAAGGAAGUUGUCCAGGGUUACAUGCUGGGAAGUGGUGGAGGUAGAAUUCAAACCCGGAGCGCAGGCGUUGUCUGCACCUCGGAGAGGCACCGCUCUUCCUGAAAUGCUCCUCCCUGGUUAUCUAUGAGGCUGAAGUCCUCACCUCUUUCAGGUCUUUGCUGAAUUAGAACCUUCUCCAUAAGGCAAGGCUGAUGCUGAGCACCCCACUGAAAAUUUUCCUCUCUCCCAAGACCCUCUUCUCAGUCCCUCUACUUGGCUCAUUUCAGGUGUCUAGCACGUCACGCCCUUUAAUACAUUUUGCAAGUAUUUCUCCACGAGUGUGAGAAAGUGGUUUUCUUUGGUGGGGGUUGAUUUUUCAUGGCACAUAAAGGGCAGCAGGGUUUCUUUGGGUCCUGUCUGGAGGCCUGAAGGUCACGCUGGGCUUCUGGGGAGCGGGUCCCCUUCCUGCAGCCUCCCUCUCCACUUGCGUGUUUCUCACUCCUCUCUCUCCCUGGGAAGUGUUGCUUGAUAAAGAUGCAGCUUUUAAUUAAUGUAACUGUUCAAGAUUACAGCCGGUCAUCAGCUUUCUAACCAGUGCCUCACAGCUCUGCUGGAAGAGCCUUGCUCCGGUGAUGGUUGAUUUGCCAUUCUCUGUCCCAGCCCAGAGAAGCUCCCCUCACUGUCAACGUGCCAUCUGUCAGGUGCAUGUUAUAAAGCUGUCAUCAUGAUCAGCUCAUUCACGCACCAGCUUUAGCUUUGAGGAACUGCCGGCCAUGGCGUUGAAGACCUGCUGAAGCCUCCAGCCAGACAUCUGAUGUUCAGGUCUCAGGGGGUCCUUGCUGCUUGUGUAGCCUGACAGGUGUGGCCACGGCAGGCACACCAUGGUUUGGAGUUUGGAAAGAAGAGACCCUGUGUUAUUGUAGAGUGACCACUGGAUUGGGCUUCUGGAAAUCCAAUUCUAAUCAGACUUGGGUUAUGCAUUUACUAUUUCAAUAAAACAUUUAUGGAUGGACUCUGGUAAUCAACAGCCAUAUUUUUGAGUACCCACUGCAGGUGAGGAAAUAAAUGUACUAGGUGCGAUAUACAUCCUCAUGUGCUGUGCUCUUGAUACAAAGCCAGUCGGGUAGGACUAUUGGUCCUGUUUUGUAGAUGAGGGAACUUAGACCCAGAAAAUGAAGGAAGCUGCCCAGAGUUACAUGCUGGGAAAUGGUGGAGCUGGGAUUCGGACCCAGAGUGCAGGCUUGCCUCUGUUGCGGCAUAGAUGUCUUGCUUGCCAGGGCACCGUGCCCAGUGCUAGGUCAGAUAUGAAUGCUUACAGGACGAGGCCCUCUUCUUGAGGACUUCCCUCUCCUUCCCUCCCCUCUACUCUGCUGCCUCUCCGAGUAGCUGUCAGGUCACUGGUAGGUACCAGUUGUGUUGGGUUACAUGGUGGAUACACGAUGGAGUGCUGUGGCUAACAGGGUGGCCAAAGGCAAGACGUUUCCCCUUUCUGACCUUUCCUUUGGCAGCCUCUGGGUGGUGGUGGGCAGGAGGUGUGAGGGAGACAUUGAGUUUGAGGUAUGGAAUGACCGUGCGUGGCUCUCGGAGCCAGCCCGAUCUGCGCCUGCCUACGCUGCCACACCCACAGGCUGUCUACAUGUUACUGGAAACCCAAGCAUGAGUUUCUUCUGCAAAAUGGAAGAUGACCACCCUUUUGUACUCCUGGGAUGAGGCAUACUGUGGGUGCACCUCCCUGCAGGCAGCUGUUUCUCAGUGAGCGGUGCCUGUUGCUAUUUGGAAGUGACCACCAUGUCUCCUCCAGCCAAAGAAUUUGGCAAUUCUAAGUUCAGAGUGGUGGGUGUUGGUGAGAGAGUCAGUCCACAGGGUGAGGUGCGAUGAGUGGGCAGAAUGUGCCUGGUAGUCAGAGUGGAGAUGGUCUAGGUGUGCUCUCAUGACCUCCUCAGCUCUUCAAGGGAAGGGAAGCCACCUGGGGAGGGUCAGUAUGGAACCCUUCCUGGACUGGCUGGUAUGUCCUGGAGGGAACUUCGUUAGACUUCAUAAUCGAUGCAGUGUGGACUCCAUGGGGAGUUUUGGAAAGAAAGCAACAGUCAUGAGGAUGACUAAGGGUGAAAGAAAUUAGGUGUGUGGCCAUGGUUGGGAUUCUAAGUCUAGCCCUGCCAGUCAUUGUCAGGUGACCUCAAGCAGGCACCUUUGUCUCUGGAGGGCUCAGCUUUCAUCUCUGCCCAAUGAGGGGUCAGGUUUGGCCUCUAAAUUCUAUCCAGCUUUAAACACUUUAGUUUACUGUCUGAAGUCUUUUUUUUUUUUUUUUUUAAGACGAAGUCGUGCUCUCUCGCCCAGGCUGGAGUGCAGUGGCACGAUCUUGGCUCACUGCACCCUCCGCCUCUUGAGUUCAAGCAAUUCUACUGCCUCAGCCUCCUGAGUAGCUGGGAUUACAGGCACACGCCAUCAUGCCUGGCUAAUUUUUUAUAUUUUUGGUAGAGAUGGGGUUCACCAUGUUGGCCAGGCUGGUCUUGAACUCUUGACUUCAAGUGAUCUGCCUGCCUUGGCCUCCCAGAAUGGUGGGAUUACAGGUGUGAGCCACCGCAACUGGCCUGAAGCCUUGUUUCUAAUAGUUGUUGGACUUUAAGAGCUUGUUCUUCAGGUCACCAUCUGCUGGGAAUCAUCCACUAUUCCCAAGACUAGGCAAGGAACACCAGUAGAACUCCAGCCUCACAGGGACCCCGUAGCAACUUCCUGCACAGGAUGCACCUCCAGGGAAUGCAGAGAACAUGAAUCUCUGUCAAGAAGUAUUGGUAGCUACUAGAACAAAAGCCACAGGGAAAGGUCCUUAUCCCAGAUUUUGGAGGUCUUCCAAUGGCAAGGAUUUUUGAGUGUUUGGGGAUGGUUUAUGUGUAGGCUGACAAGAGGAAGAUGAGCAGGGGGACAUUCUGGAAAGCUUUUUUUUUUUUUCAUUCAGAUACUUGCAUUAGGCCAUGUGCUAAGUACUUUAUAUAUGCUGCCUAAUUUGAUUUCAUAAUAAUCUUGAAGUAAAUGGAUUAUCCCCCUUUAACAAAUUAGGAAAAUAAAGCCUAGAGGGUGUAAGCCCUCAUAACUCCUAAGUGACUGAGCCUAGAAUCAAGUUCUUUCUGAAUCUGAGUUCCAUUCUCUUAACCCUUAUGCUGUAUGUUUAAAACAAAUACAAAAAUAUGGAAAAUACA
rnacentral:lncRNA from 1 species